GAUCCAACCGUCGGUGAGCGAGCUGUCCCGGGCCGUGCGGACCAACAUACUGUGCACCGUGCGCGGCUGCGGCAAGAUCCUGCCCAACAGCCCCGCGCUCAACAUGCAUCUGGUCAAGAGCCACCGUCUGCAGGAUGGCAUAGUAAAUCCAACAAUAAGAAAAGAUUUGAAAACUGUACCGAAAUUCUACUGUUGUCCAAUUGAAGGAUGCCCGCGAGGCCCUGACAGACCAUUUUCUCAGUUUUCUCUCGUAAAACAGCACUUCAUGAAAAUGCAUGCUGAGAAGAAGCAUAAAUGUAGUAAAUGCAGCAAUUCGUAUGGUACGGAAUGGGACUUGAAAAGACACGCAGAGGACUGUGGCAAGACCUUCCAGUGCACAUGUGGCUGUCCCUAUGCCAGUAGAACAGCAUUACAGUCCCACAUCUAUCGAACUGGCCAUGAGAUCCCUGCAGAACACAGGGAUCCACCUAGUAAGAAAAGGAAAAUGGAAAACUGCCUGCAAAACCAGAAGUUGUCCAAUAAGACCACCGAAUCAUUGAGCAGCCAACCAACCCCUAGACCAGACACUCAAGAACUAGAAACUUCAGAAAUAAAGCUAGUAGCUUCUUUUGAAGACUCUUGUGGCUCUAAUGCCAGAAAGCAGACUCUUACAACACCUACGAGAUAUCCUCAGAAGCUGCUUUUACCAAAGCCCAAAGUGGCUUUGGUUAAACUACCAGUGAUGCAGCUCUCUCCUGUGCCUGUCUUUGUGCCUACGGCUGACUCCUCAGCCCAACAUGUGGUGUUUGGUGUUGAUCAGGGCUCUGCCACGGGCACUGUGCACUUACUGCCCUUGUCGGUAGGAACCUUGAUCCUUGGCCUAGAUUCAGAGGCUUGCUCUCUUAAGGAGAGCUUACCUCUUUCAAAAAUGAUAAGUCCUGUUGCUGUUGAGCCAAUUAGUACAGGAGUUCAAGCGAACUUGGGUAAAAGUCCAUUUAAUCCUUUACAAGAAUUAGGGAACACAUGUCAAAAGAAUAGCAUUUCUUCAAUCAAUAUACAGACAGAUCUGUCUUAUGCCUCACAAAACUUUAUACCUUCUGCACAGUGGGCUAGCCCUGAUUCCUCUGUGUCAUCUUGUUCUCAAACUGAUUUGUCAUUUGAUUCUCAAGUGUCCCUUCCCAUUAGUGUUCACACUCAGACAUUUUUGCCCAGCUCUAAGGUAACUUCAUCUAUAGCUGCUCAGACUGAUGGAUUUAUAGAUGCUUGUUUCCAGUCCAGCGGGAUCUCCAGAGAAACUCAAACCAGUGGGAUACAAAGUAUGACAGAUGACCAUGUACAGAUGGACCAAGCUGGAAUGUGUGGAGACAUUUUUGAGAGUGUCCAUUCAUAUAAUGUUCCUACAGAUAAUAUUAUAAGCAACAGUUUAGUAGCAGACACAGUAACUCAUGGUUUGUUACCUCAGAACGACCCUAAGACUUUAAAUCAAGAUAUUGAGAAAUCUGCGCCAAUUAUAAACUUCAGUGCACAGAAUAUGCUUCCUUCACAGAACAUGACAGAUAAUCAGACCCAAACUAUAGAUUUAUUAAGUGAUUUAGAAAACAUCUUAUCAAGUAAUCUGCCUGCUCAGACAUUGGAUAAUCGGAGUCUUCUAUCUGACACGAAUCCUGGACCUGACACUCAGCUCCCAUCUGGUCCACCUCAGAAUCCUGGAAUAGAUUUUGAUAUUGAAGAGUUCUUUUCAGCCUCAAAUAUCCAGACUCAAACUGAAGAGAGUGAACUUGGCACCAUGAACACUGAACCAGUCUUAGAAUCACUGGACAUAGAGACCCAAACUGACUUCUUACUUGCAGACACCUCUGCUCAGUCCUAUGGGUGUAGGGGAAAUUCUAACUUCUUAGGCCUUGAGAUGUUUGACACGCAGACACAGACAGACUUAAACUUCUUUUUAGACAGUAGCCCUCAUCUGCCUUUGGGAAGUAUUCUGAAACACUCCAGCUUUUCCAUGAGUACUGAUUCAUCUGACACAGAGACCCAAACCGAAGGAAUCUCAACUGCUAAAAACAUACCUGCUCUAGAAAGCAAAGUUCGGUUGAACAGUACAGAAACACAAACCAUGAGUUCUGGGUUUGAAACCCUGGGGAGCUUGUUCUUCACCAGCAAUGAAACUCAAACAGCAAUGGAUGACUUUCUUCUGGCUGAUUUGGCCUGGAACACGAUGGAGUCUCAGUUUAGUUCUGUAGAAACCCAGACAUGUGCCGAACUAUAUGCAGUCUCCGAUUUCUAAAAGCUGAGUCCACUUGUGGGAUGGCAUUUACCAUUUCCUUAUGGAUUAGCAAAUGGGGAAUGGUACAACGGUAUUAACUCUGUUGAAUGUAGCUGAUGACGCAGUCACUUAGAUUCUUUGCGGUUCUUUGCCUUUUGUGCUUGUAAACAUGAAAUUUGUGUAUAAAUGUGAGUAUUAUAAAGUGUAAGAUGUUGAUCUAAAAGUGAUUGCUUUGUGUUGCCCAUAUUGUCCUUUUACAGCUGGUCUUUCCAUCUUUAAAAAAAAUUUUCAUACCUAUAAAGCCUGUCUAGCCAUUUAGCUGAAGCCAAGCUUACAGCUACUAAGACACAAACUUCUCAGAUCUUCAGAACGUUUUAGUCAUAGUGUAGCAUACUUAAAUUGCACCCAAAAUAUUUUUGACAGUGCUUGUUAGAAAUUCAUGUUUCUCGAUAGAAAUAAGAAAGGCAAUGCUGCCACCAUCAGAUUUAAACAGUGCUUCCAUGGUUUGAGACUUCUGCUGCUUUGACAUCUUUUCUGAUCUGAAGACACCAAGGAAAACUACAGCUGUCUAGCUUUGAGACAGUUUUCAUAUAGUCACGUCAUCCCUUCUCUAUAUGAGCUAUUAUUGGUAAUGUACUUUUCUCACAAGAGGUUUAUUGCUGUAAAAUUGCUGCCUAGAGGGAAAGCAUCAAGCACUUAGUGUAUACAGUGAUCCUUGUAAAAAAGAGUGAGUCAUCCAAACCACGGGAAUACGGGGUUGUGGAAUUGUGCUUAUUAGUUCAUCCUAGCAUGUGCCCUAUGAACAUUCUUCCUGCUUUCCAGAAUAAGUCAGAUUGGGGCUCUGGAGCUGCUGCCAAAAGUGCACCCACAGGCUGGAUCUGAGUUUUGUCACUAUAAAAAUGUGGGAAGAGAAAAGGACAUUUCAAUACUUUGCACUUCUAAGCUUCAUUGAGCAAGAGUGCAACCUACAAUUAUUUUAAAGUGACUUUUCCUUCCAUCCACCACUCAUUUUUUUCUUGACUAAGGAAAGACAUUGGUCUAGCAAGGAAAUUGUUUGUGCCUUGAGGCUAGCAAUUAUAGAAUAGAUCCAUCUAAAAUAUGAUAUUCUGUAUAUUGUUGCUUUACUUUUUAAUGAGAAUAAUACCAAAUAGUCAUCUUCAAAGAAAACAAGGUGAAGACCUAUUGCUUCAAUAAUCAAGAGCAUUUUCUGUGAGAUGGGAGCAUGGUCAAGUAUGCUAUAGGGGUUUUCUAUAUCUAAGAGAUCCUGAAUUCUUACUUGCUGGCCAACUUUCAGGCAAGGAAGAAACAGUGCAGCCUGUACGUUGUCUAAGUUUACAAAAACAAAAAAGACCUGUUCUUUCUGUGGCAUACUCUUAUGCUGUGAAGGCAAAUCUAAGGAGGGGACUACUGAUUCAUUAAAUUGAUGGUGUUGCUACUAAUUCCUAUCCCAUACAUCUGAUACAAAAGCAGUUUGGUAAUGGAUAACAUAUCCUGGGCAGGUGAACUCAACCUAGUAGAUAAAAGUUUGCUUUGGUCACAGUUGCCUAUAAAUAUGUACUUCAAAACAAACAUAAAGCCUUAAUUUAAAAUUUCAUUAUGUUUUAGAAUCAUCACUGCCUUAAUGUUCAAACAUUUAUUUAAGUCCUCCCAAUAAAGGAGAAAUGCAUGUUUGUAGUUUUUUGUAAAUAUAAACGCAGAUCUAUGGCUUUAAAAAACAAAAACAAACACUUGUUUCUGUGACUGAUUGUUAAUUUAGCCAAUAGAGUUAUGUACAGAAAAAUGGAGCAUGUAAUGGUUCGUGUACAAGAACUGCCUCCCCACCAAACCUCAGCUACCUGGUUGUUCUAAGAUUACUUGUAAAAACUGAAAUUCUGUGAUUAAAGAGAAACUAGAAUU